rnacentral:rRNA from 1 species
GCAGCAGCCGCGGGAAUACAGAGGGUGCGAGCGUUAAUCGGAUUUACUGGGCGUAAAGCGUGCGUAGGCGGCUUUUUAAGUCGGAUGUGAAAUCCCUGAGCUUAACUUAGGAAUUGCAUUCGAUACUGGGAAGCUAGAGUAUGGGAGAGGAUGGUAGAAUUCCAGGUGUAGCGGUGAAAUGCGUAGAGAUCUGGAGGAAUACCGAUGGCGAAGGCAGCCAUCUGGCCUAAUACUGACGCUGAGGUACGAAAGCAUGGGGAGCAAACAGGAUUAGAGACCCCCGUAGUCCCUGUCUCUUAUAC